rnacentral:rRNA from 1 species
UGGGGAAUAUUGCACAAUGGGCGAAAGCCUGAUACAGCAACGCCGCGUGAGUGAUGAAGGCCUUCGGGUUGUAAAGCUCUGUCUUUUGGGACGAUAAUGACGGUACCAAAGGAGGAAGCCACGGCUAACUACGUGCCAGCAGCCGCGGUAAUACGUAGGUGGCAAGCGUUGUCCGGAUUUACUGGGCGUAAAGGAUGCGUAGGCGGAUUUUUAAGUGAGAUGUGAAAACCCUAAGCUUAACUUGGGGACUGCAUUUCAUACUGGAAAAUCUAGAGUGCGGGAGAGGAGAAUGGAAAUUCCUAGUGUAGCGGUGAAAUGCGUAGAGAUUAGGAAGAACACCAGUGGCGAAGGCGAUUCUCUGGACCGUAACUGACGCUGAGGCAUGAAAGCGUAGGUAGCAAACAGGAUUAGAUACCCUGGUAGUCCACGCCGUAAACGAUGAGUACUAGGUGUAGGAGGUAUCGACCCCUUCUGUGCCGCAGUUAACACAAUAAGUACUCCGCCUGGGAAGUACGAUCGCAAGAUUAAAACUUAAAAUGAAUUGACGGGGGUCAUAGCUGUUUUCCU